rnacentral:tRNA from 1 species
UCCCUGGUAGCUCAGACAGUUAAGUGUCUGUCUGCAACGCAGAAGACCCAGGUUCGAUCCCUGGGUCGGGAA